UUUAACAGUUCCAUCAACACUAAGUCAUACCAUUUUGUGCAAGAGGAAGGUGGCAGAAUCAUCUCAACCAAUAACCUUACAAAGAAGUCCGCUAUCCAACAUUACGAACAUUGAAUAUGUUCCUUCUGGCAUGCCGCGAGUUCUAAAUACAACCAAAAAGGGA